rnacentral:rRNA from 1 species
AGUGAACGCUGGCGGUAGGCCUAACACAUGCAAGUCGAACGGCAGCACAGUAAGAGCUUGCUCUUACGGGUGGCGAGUGGCGGACGGGUGAGGAAUACAUCGGAAUCUACUUUUUCGUGGGGGAUAACGUAGGGAAACUUACGCUAAUACCGCAUACGACCUACGGGUGAAAGCAGGGGACCUUCGGGCCUUGCGCGAUUGAAUGAGCCGAUGUCGGAUUAGCUAGUUGGCGGGGUAAAGGCCCACCAAGGCGACGAUCCGUAGCUGGUCUGAGAGGAUGAUCAGCCACACUGGAACUGAGACACGGUCCAGACUCCUCCGGGAGGCAGCAGUGGGGAAUAUUGGACAAUGGGCGCAAGCCUGGUCCAGCCAUACCGCGUGGGUGAAGAAGGCCUUCGGGUUGUAAAGCCCUUUUGUUGGGAAAGAAAUCCAGCCGGCUAAUACCUGGUUGGGAUGACGGUACCCAAAGAAUAAGCACCGGCUAACUUCGUGCCAGCCGCCGCGGUAACAC